GAUGAACGCUGGCGGCGUGCCUAAUACAUGCAAGUCGAGCGAAGCGGGGACGGGUGAGUAAUACGUGGAUAACUUCCUAUAAGACUGGGAUAAUUUCGGGAAACCGGAGCUAAACCGGAUGCUUACAGAUGGAUCCGCGCUGCAUUAGCUAGUUGGUAAGGUAACGGCUUACCAAGGCAAAGAUGCAUAGCCGACCUGAGAGGGGGAUCGGCAGGACAGGAACUGAGACACGGUCCAGACUCCUACGGGAGGCAGCAGUAGGGAAUCUUCCGCAAUGGGCGAAAGCCUGACGGAGCAACACCGCGUGAGUGAUGAAGGUCUUCGGAUCGUAAAACUCUGUUAUUAGGGAAGCGGUACCUAGGCAGAAAGCCACGGCUAACUACGUGCCAGCAGCCGCGGUAAUUC
rnacentral:rRNA from 1 species